GCCGCCGUAGCUCAGCACGGUCAGAGCGCCGGCCUCGUAAGCCGGUGGUCCCGGGUUCAAAUCCCGGCGGCGGCU
rnacentral:tRNA from 4 species